rnacentral:lncRNA from 1 species
GUUUGGUAUAACUGACUGUUUCUUGCCCUAGAUGUCUAUUUCACAGUGACCUUAUGUGUUUGUGCUAAAAGUACAUUGUACUGUCAAAUUCAUUGAUUUUCUGUUGGGACAUGACCUACAUUGUAAACAUGCAAAAUAGUGGCUUGAGAUUUCAACUGAUAUUAGUAUAAUAAAUUAAAAUUUGGAAUAUUAUAUCCUGGUUGAUGAUGUUUUUUUUUGGGACCAAGAUGUUUUCUUCAUUCUUGUUCACAUUAUGAUUAUUUUAACCUUCAACAUUGUUCAAUGCACAUUUAAAGAUAGAAAAAAUUUCAGCUCUCAUUUAAAAUAUUUUGCAACUUAAUAAUAAUCUGUCGGAGUUGGUGUAAACAAAAAACAAGACACUGCAAGCAUAGUCUAUUUCUAUAACAGUCAAGCUGAUAGUUUUUUUUAUAUCUGAAAAAAAAAAAACUACCAUGUAAAGAAAUAUGCAAUUAAAAGGCCUAUAAUAACCCCUAAAUUCAACAUUAACAGAUUUUUAACAAUUAAAUCAAGAUGCACA